GGUCAUCCCGUCCAGUCUCUGAUCGAAGGGGAGUUUCCACAGUGAUUGAUGCUGCCUCAGUGCACCUCUGAUCAUGAUCCAUGCAUUGGAGUCAGCUGCACAUCAGGAAGUUGCUCAUCUGGAGGUUUCAUUGCCUGUUACUUGGAGAUACGACCAGUGUGGCACCUCCUCUGUUGGUCUUCAUUGCCCUGUAUUACCUUCAAGCAUUUUAUAUGACUUCAUGGAUUAUCUUUUUAAUUAUUCCUAUGGCACAUGUUACACCUAACCCUCUAUUUUAGUGACAGCUCUUGCUCUGUCUAACCUUGUGGCAGUAUAAUUGUUUUUCAUAUAAUUACUUUAUUCACAGAUAAUAGAAUUUAAUGUGAUAUAAUUAAAUCCUUUGACAAUUAUAACAGUUUUUAAAGUGAAAAU
rnacentral:sRNA from 1 species